rnacentral:rRNA from 1 species
GAUGAACGCUGGCGGCGUGCUUAACACAUGCAAGUCGAACGGAAAGGCCAGUUCUUGCACUGGUACUCGAGUGGCGAACGGGUGAGUAACACGUGGGUGAUCUGCCCUGUACUUCGGGAUAAGCGUGGGAAACUGGGUCUAAUACCGGAUAGGACAACUUCUUGGAUAUUGUUGUGGAAAGCUUUUGCGGUAUGGGAUGAGCUCGCGGCCUAUCAGCUUGUUGGUGGGGUAAUGGCCUACCAAGGCGUCGACGGGUAGCCGGCCUGAGAGGGUGUACGGCCACAUUGGGACUGGAAUACGGCCCAGACUCCUACGGGAGGAAGCAGUGGGGAAUAUUGCACAAUGGGGGCAAGCCUGAUGCAGAGCCGCCGCGUGGGGGAUGAAGGCCUUCGGGUUGUAAACUCCUUUCGCUAGGGACGAAGCGCAAGUGACGGUACCUGGAGAAGAAGCACCGGCUAACUACGUG